rnacentral:rRNA from 1 species
UACGAACCGAGCGAACGUUGUUCGGAAUCACUGGGCUUAAAGGGCGCGUAGGCGGGCUGCCAAGUUUGGGGUGAAAUCCUCCGGCUCAACCGGGGAAGUGCCUUGAAUACUGGCGGUCUGGAGGGAGGUAGGGGCGUGCGGAACUGUAGGUGGAGCGGUGAAAUGCGUUGAUAUCUGGAAGAACACCAAAGGCGAAGGCAGCAUCCUGGGAAGUUCCUGACGCUCGGGUGCGAAAGCAUGGGGAGCGAACAGG